rnacentral:rRNA from 1 species
UUCCGGUUGAUCCCGCCGGAGGCUACCGCUAUUGGAGUUCGAUUAAGCCAUGCGAGUCGCGAGUCUUAGGGACUCGGCGUACCGCUCAGUAACACGUGGGUAACCUGCCCUAUGCUGGGGGAUAACCUCGGGAAACUGAGAAUAAUACCCCAUAGUUCACCACGCCUGGAACGGUGGGUGGACCAAAGCUCCGGCGGCAUAGGAUGGGCCUGCGGCGUAUCAGGUUGUAGGGGGUGUAAUGUACCCUCUAGCCCUCUACGCGUACGGGUGUUGAGAGACAUCGCCCGGAGAUGGAUUCUGAGACACGAAUCCAGACCCUACGGGGUGCAGCAGGCGCGAAAACUUGGCAAUGCGAGAAAUCGUGACCAGGGAACUCCAAGUGCAUCGGGUAAGACCGAUGCUUUUCUUGACUCUUCAAAGGUCUUGGAAUAAGGGGUGGGUAAGGACGGUGCCAGCCGCCGCGGUAAUACCGGCGCCCCAAGUGGUAGUCGCUUUUAUUGGGCCUAAAACGUCCGUAGCCUGUUUGGUACAUUCGUGGGUAAAUCAACCAGCUCAACUGGUUGAAUUCUGCGAGCACGGCCAGACUUGGGACCGGGAGAGGUGUGGGGUACGCUCAGGGUAGGGGUAAAAUCCUGUCAUCCUGAGCGGACCACCUGUUGCGAAGGCGCCACACUAGAACGGAUCCGACGGUCAGGGACGAAGCCUAGGGGCACGAACCGGAUUAGAUACCCGGGUAGUCCUAGGUGUAAACGCUGUGGACUUGAUGUUGGGAGUGCUCCGAGCACCCUCAGUGUCGAAGCGAAGGUGAUAAGUCCACUGCCUGGGGAGUACGGUCGCAAGGCUGAAACUUAAAGGAAUUGGCGGGGGAGCACUGCAACCUGAGGAUUGUGCGGUUUAAUUGGAUUCAACGCCGG